rnacentral:tRNA from 1 species
GGAGAGUUGACAGAGGUGGUAAUGUGCGGGUUUGCUACACCCAGGCUAUCGCUUAAUGCGGUACAAAGGUUCAACUCCUUUACUCUCCG